rnacentral:lncRNA from 1 species
GAGCAAGUACCAUUUUAUGAAUAAAGCACCAUUGAAAUCAUUGCUAUUCCUUGAAGCCAAAAAAGUGUCAGUAAAACCCAGUCAGAAUUACCAUCUUCUGAACUCCAUGCGAGAAAACUCCAUUACUCCCAGAUACUGUUGGAUCUUCCACCAGAUUUACUCUGUGGCCCUCUGAGACUCCAUGUAACAGCAACUGCAUUUUAAUGCAAUGGCAGCUAUGAAAAACACAAAACUAUCAGUCAUUGUCAAAUACUCCAUAAAUGGAGACAGAGAAGGGGUUCAGUUCUCUGUGUAACAAGGACAGAGGAGAAAGGCAUCUGCAGUGUCAAAUCUACAGAGACAAGUGCACCUGGAGACAAAUGACCAGACUACCAUAAAACAGAAGCUUAAUUAUGUUCACUUACAUUUUCAAAUUAUUCCCAACAAAUUACCCUGUUUUUCCAGGUAGAAGAAGCAGAG